rnacentral:rRNA from 1 species
CCUGAAACCGUGUACGUACAAGCAGUAGGAGCGCCUCGAAGCGUGACUGCGUACCUUUUGUAUAAUGGGUCAGCGACUUAAUUUUAGUAGCAAGGUUAACCGUAUAGGGGAGCCGUAGGGAAACCGAGUCUUAACUGGGCGUCGAGUUGCUAGAAUUAGACCCGAAACCAGGUGAUCUAGCCAUGGGCAGGUUGAAGGUUGAGUAACAUCAAC